rnacentral:rRNA from 1 species
AGAGUUUGAUCCUGGCUCAGGAUGAACGCUGGCGGCGUGCCUAACACAUGCAAGUCGAACGGAGUUGUUAUCAUGAAGUCUUCGGAUGGAAUGGUAAUAACUUAGUGGCGGACGGGUGAGUAACACGUAGGUAAUCUACCCUUCAGAGGAGGACAACCUCAGGAAACUGAGGCUAAACCUUCAUACGUUCACUGGUAGGGAUACUGGUGAAGAAAGAGUUACCUUAGUGGUAGCUGCUGAAGGAUGAGCCUGCGGCCCAUCAGGUAGUUGGUGAGGUAACGGCUCACCAAGCCGAAGACGGGUAACCGGUCUGAGAGGAUGUCCGGUCACACUGGGACUGAGACACGGCCCAGACUCCUACGGGAGGCAGCAGCAGGGAAUCUUGGGCAAUGGGCGAAAGCCUGACCCGGCGACGCCGCGUGGAGGAAGAAGUCCUUCGGGGCGUAAACUCCUGGACUGGGGGACGAGGAAGGACGGUACCCCAGUAGAAAGGGACGGCUAACUACGUGCCAGCAGCCGCGGUAAAACGUAGGUCCCGAGCGUUGUUCGGAUUCACUGGGUGUAAAGGGCGCGUAGGUGGUUGUCUGUGUCUCAUGUGAAAACUCAGGGCUCAACUCUGAGAUUGCGUGGGAAACUAGGCAGCUAGAGGACGGUAGAGGGGAGUGGAAUUCCCGGUGUAGCGGUAAAAUGCGUAGAUAUCGGGAGGAACACCGGUGGCGAAGGCGGCUCUCUGGGCCGAUCCUGACGCUGAGGCGCGAAAGCUAGGGGAGCGAACCGGAUUAGAUACCCGGGUAGUCCUAGCCGUAAACGAUGGGUGCUAGGUGUUGGGGGGUAAAGACCCUUCAGUGCCGAAGCCAACGCGAUAAGCAUCCCACCUGGGGAGUACGGCCGCAAGGUUGAAACUCAAAUGAAUUGACGG